CAUGAAAAUACGUAAUCAGUUUUGUAUUACAGAACAGACCCUGUAACCAUUUGUAAAACAAGUAUCAAUUGACACGUUCUAUCAGAAAAUUAGGUCAGUGAUAAUUACACUCUGAGCAUAUAUUCCAGCAUGAGCUCACUAAUAUCGUGCGACUUCAGUGUUACACCGACAUCUUGACUGAAAUUAGAUAGACCUCAUGUGAUAUCAGUGCAGCACUAGUGUACCACUACUUUCACCAAUAUAAAAAAUUGCAGUAGAUGAAUUUUCGCAGGUUCUGCUGGCUUCGAUACACGGAACACCCAUUUCCCGAUUUGCUUGUUAUUGUUUUUGAAUAUUUCCGACCUCCGAAUAAAGGAAGGACCUAUCAAAGGAUUUGAAGUUUCAUCUCAAAUAUGGAAACAUUUCUGUUUUUGAAGCUUGAAAUCUAAUACUUGAAAUAAUUCAAAAUAACCAACAACAAAUAACCAACUAAAAAGCAACUUGCUAUUUCAAGUGCUAGACCCGUAAAAAGGACAAGGCCGUCUAGAUUCAGUCAUGCUAUUCAAAUCUCAGAGUAAUAUUUUUUAUUACUCUGAGGAUAUAAUCCAACGCCCUUCGUGGUUUCAAGCAGGGGAGUAGUUUUCUGAUAGUUGUCAGUCCAUUAAGCUACAGCGUAGAUAAUUUGAAAUGUAUCACGUUGCACAACAAUCGAAAUAAAAAAUGAACAUCA